rnacentral:rRNA from 1 species
CAAUAGCGUAUAUUUAAGUUGCUGCAGUUAAAAAGCUCGUAGUUGGAUUUCGGGUGGGAAUGGCCGGUCCGCCGUUUCGGUGUGCACUUGCUACGCCCACCUUGCUGCCGGGGACGUGCUCUUGAGCUCACGCUCGGGACACGGAGUCGGCGAGGUUACUUUGAGUAAAUUAGAGUGUUCAAAGCAGGCCUACGCUCUGAAUACAUUAGCAUGGAAUAACACGAUAGGACUCUGGCCUAUCUUGUUGGUCUGUAGGACCGGAGUAAUGAUUAAGAGAGACAGUCGGGGGCAUUCGUAUUUCAUUGUCAGAGGUGAAAUUCUUGGAUUUAUGAAAGACGAACUACUGCGAAAGCAUUUGCCAAGGAUGUUUUCAUUAA